GNAGGGAGCAAGCGUNGUCCGGAUNNACUGGGUGUANAGGGUGCGUAGGNGGUNAAUNAAGNCAGCGGUGAAAGNNUGUGGCUCAACCAUAAAAUNGCCGUCGAAACUGGUUGACUNGAGUAUAUUUGAGGUAGGCGGAAUGCNUGGUGUAGCGGUGAAAUGCAUAGAUAUCACGCAGAACUCCGAUUGCGAAGGCAGCUUACUAAACUAUAACUGACACUGAAGCACGAAAGCGUGGGGAUCAAACAGGAUUAGAUACCCUGGUAGUCCACGCAGUAAACGAUGAUUACUAGCUGUUUGCGAUACACAGUAANCGGCACAGCGAAUGCGUUAANUAAUCCACCUGGNGAGU
rnacentral:rRNA from 1 species